rnacentral:ncRNA from 1 species
GUUUUUAUUUUUGUGUUAAUCCUAUAGGUAUGAUGGCGGUCUGUGAAGGAUUAAUAAGGUUUUACUUUUUUUUAGUUUACUUAGAUAGGCAAUGUUCUUUUACCUUGUUGUUUUAUUUUUUGUAUUAGAGGGGUUCCAGAUUAAUCGGCUAGGCCUCGUAAAUUUUGACUUUAAGUUAGUUGAUAUUGAGAAUUUAAGUGUUUUUUUUUUUUGUAAUCUUGGGUGUAAUUAUGGGAUUUUUUGUUAGUUUUUUCUUGAUGUUUGAUCAUAGUUAAGUGACUCGGGUUAGAAACCGAUUAAUCUAUUUUUAUUAGAGCAGAAGUAAAUUAAUAUUUAAACUGAACACAUAUUGGCAGGUUUUUGAUUUUUCUUUGGGGGUUGACUGUUAAACGAGAGUCCUCGUUGUUUGCUCUGGUUUUUGGCUUAUGUAUGUUUGUUUUUUUGGGUGUUGGGCAUUCAGAUUUUUAUUUUAUUUUUAUUGGUUGCAGAUAUAUAUCUAGUUUAUAUCACGAGUUUAGGUUGAGCCACAGUGUUAAAUUUUUGUUUUUUGCUUGAGAUCGGGGAUGUUUUUUUAGUAUUGUAAAAGAAAGUGAUUUAAUUUUUAUUAGUUUUAGUGAAUUUUACUUGGAAACGGUACAAAUCAUCCAUCAAUUGUCUAAAGGGAAGUAAGUUGUAGUAAAGUAGGGCAAGAGGAAUCUGGUCCUAGAGUUUAAA